GGUGGUUCUUGGGUGAUGCAUCCCAGAAUCAGGCUCCCUCCUCUGUAGUUCUGGGUGUGUCACCUGAGAACGGCA
rfam:Myotis lucifugus cont2.16147, whole genome shotgun sequence.